CACGUAGGGUGCGAGCGUUGUCCGGAAUUAUUGGGCGUAAAGAGCUCGUAGGCGGUGUGUCGCGUCGGCCGUGAAAACCUGCAGCUUAACUGUGGGCUUGCGGUCGAUACGGGCAGGCUAGAGGUAUGCAGGGGAGAACGGAAUUCCUGGUGUAGCGGUGAAAUGCGCAGAUAUCAGGAGGAACACCGGUGGCGAAGGCGGUUCUCUGGGCAUUAACUGACGCUGAGGAGCGAAAGCAUGGGGAGCGAACAGG
rnacentral:rRNA from 1 species